rnacentral:tRNA from 1 species
GCCCCGGUAGUACAGCCCGGUCAAGUAUGUCGGCCUUUCGAGUCGAUGAGCGCGGGUUCAAAUCCCGCCCGGGGCA